rnacentral:sRNA from 1 species
CAUGCCCCUUAUACGCUGGGCUACACACGUGCUACAAUGGGUAGAACAGAGAGUCGCAAAGCUGUGAAGUGGAGCUAAUCUCAGAAAACUAUUCUUAGUUCGGAUUGUACUCUGCAACUCGAGUACAUGAGGUUGGAAUCGCUAGUAAUCGCGAAUCAGCAAUGUCGCGGUGAAUACGUUCUCGGGUCUUGUACACACCGCCCGUCACACCACGAGAGUUGGUUGCACCUGAAGUAGCAGGCCUAACCGUAAGGAGGGAUGCUCCGAGGGUGUGAUUAGCGAUUGGGGUGAAGUCGUAACAAGGUAUCCGUACGGGAACGUGCGGAUGGAUCACCUCCUUUCUAAGGAGUAUAAGUCUUUCUCUAUUCUAUUGGUAAUGUUCUUUACAUUACUUCUGAACAUUGGAAACUAUAUAGUAGAACAAACAAGAAAAAAAUUAACUCUAACAAUUUCUUAGAGUUAGCUGUCAAAAAAUAGGUUAAAAUAAUUAAGGGCACACAAAGGAUGCCUAGGUAGUAAGAGCCGAUGAAGG